AACGAACGCUGGCGGCAUGCCUAACACAUGCAAGUCGAACGAGACCUUCGGGUCUAGUGGCGCACGGGUGCGUAACGCGUGGGAACCUGCCCUUAGGUUCGGAAUAACUCCCCGAAAGGGGUGCUAAUACCGGAUAAUGUCUUCGGACCAAAGAUUUAUCGCCUUUGGAUGGGCCCGCGUUGGAUUAGCUAGUUGGUAGGGUAAAAGCCUACCAAGGCGACGAUCCAUAGCUGGUCUGAGAGGAUGAUCAGCCACACUGGGACUGAGACACGGCCCAGACUCCUACGGGAGGAAGCAGUGGGGAAUUUUGGACAGUGGGCGAAAGCCUGAUCCACCAAUGCCGCGUGAGGGAUGAAGGCCUUAGGGUGGUAAAGCUCUUUUACCCGGGAUGAUAAUGACAGUCCCGGGAGAAUAAGCCCCGGCUAACUCCGG
rnacentral:rRNA from 1 species